rnacentral:lncRNA from 10 species
AUGGGGAACGUACUGACCUGUUGUGUGUGCCCCAAGGACAGCCCCGAGUUUGACCAGCCGCAGGGGUCAGUGUGCCCCUCUGAGUCCGACAUCUAUGAGGCAGGAGCUGGGGACAGGAUGGCAGGAGCUGGGAACAGGAUGGCAGGAGCUGGGGAUGGGAUGGCAGGGGCGCCUAUGGCUGCUGCUGUGCAGCCUGCUGAGGUGACUGUUGAAGUUGGUGAGGACCUCCACAUGCACCACAUCCAUGACCGGGAGAUGCCUGAAGCUUUGGAGUUUAACCCUUCUGCCAAUCCAGAGGCAAGCACAAUAUUCCAUGGGAACUGUCAAACAGAUGCUUUGGAGUUUAACCCUUCUGCCAAUGCAGAGGCAAGCACAAUAUUCCAGAGGAACUCUCAAACAGAUGUUAUAGAAAUAAGAAGAAGCAACUAUACAAACCACGUAUCUACUGUGCGUUUCAGUCAACAAUACAGCUCAUGUUCAACAAUAUUCCUUGAUGACAACACAGCCAGCCAGUCUUAUCUUACAAUGACAAUAAUAUCAGUGACCUUGGAGAUACAUCAUGAUAUCACGCAAAGAGAUGCAGAUGGAUCUUUGAGCGUAUGUGAUGAAGAGUUAUACUCAUUUAUGGUAAGUGGCACUUUUAUUGAGAUUGUAUUUUCAUCAUACACUUGUAUCUGUUUCAUGCUGAAGUCAAAGGCAUCUUUUUAAAAAUCUUCCCCGUUUCAUGUCACAUUUAGUCAUCUUAAGUGUUGUAAAAAGAAUGUGCUGGAAUAAGAACUGAUCUGCAGCUGUGUUUAGUUAGUGAGCUAGUAUGAGUAAAUAUACUACCCAAAUAACAGAAAAUGUAUCUUUUUUUUUUUUUUUGAGGUGGAGUCUCUCUCUGUAGCCCAGGCUGGAGUGCAAUCAUGUGAUCUUGGCUCACUGCAGGCUCUGCCUCCCAGGUCCCUGUUCAAGCAGAAACCUGAACCAAGUGAACAAGUUCAACAUCAUCAGUAAGAAGAACUAUCAGUGCCAUAACUCUGAUGGAAUGCACGGGGAAGGAUUCCACAUCAUUUUUGUACUGUAAUGGCCAAAGGUGCAUAACUUCAGUCCAAUCAUGGAAAUACAUCAGACAAACCCAAAUCGAGGAACAUUUGACAAAUACUGAUCAGUACUGGUUCAAAGUGUCACGGUUAGGAAAGAUAAGCAAAGACUGAGGAACUGUCACUGCAGUCCUACAAAAUGGCAAGAGACUAAGAAAUAACUAAAUGCCCCGUGAUCCUGGGUUGCAUUUGGGAACAGAAAAAGGACAUUAGUGGAAAAAGUGGUGAAACUCCAGUAAGGACUUUAGCUAAUAUGUUCAUUUUAAAUUAAAUAAUUUAAAUAUAUUUAAACAUUAUUUAAAUGUAUUUAAUUAAUAAAAUUGGUUAUUUUAUGAAAUAAUUUUAAUAUAAUUAAAUAUGAGAAUGUGGAUUUCCUUGUUCUGAUCACCAUACUGUGGUUAUCUAAGAGGUGAACGUUCAGGGAGGCUGGGGGAGGAAUAAAUGGAAAUUAUACUAUUGAGUUGGAAGAGAGAAACCUACCCCAUCAGUCACAAAACCCUCACAUUCACGGCAGUGUGUCGGAGGUUCCAAUAUGAAUGGGAUUUCAUUGUCAGCAUGAGGUCCCUGUGGAGGGAGUGGGGCUCCCUGGGAAUCUAGUGGAGAGCAUUCGGGGCUCCCUUCCUCAGGAGCCUGCCCUUCCUGCACAGAAGCAUCAGCCUCACCUCUGUAGCGCUGUCCCUCUGCCUCUCAGAACCCAC